rnacentral:lncRNA from 1 species
CAUUGAACUGAUUAUUCAAACAGAAUCAACAAAUAAUAAACAAAAGAUCCAUACAUGCACUUCAUUUGGUCAUCCACUGCACACAAAAACUAGAAAGGCUUGGUUCACUGUUACAGAUAAUAAUGGCUGCCAAGGUCAACACAUUGGUACCUCCUUGACACUUUAUAAAAAUUGAAUUGUAACCUUGCGACACCUAAUCCUAAGCUGUAUACAAACGUUUCUGUGUUCUACUUUAUACUAUCUGACACAAUUGUCGUGCCUUCUGUCGCAAACGCCAUUGAUUUUGAGACAACUGAAUAAGCAGAUCAUCAUUCGGCUUGAGGUCUGCUUUCGAAGUUUACCAUCAUCUUGCUUAGUUUCUUGUUGCUUAUUCUUUGUUGAAAGACUCUGCUGUCAUCCAUACUGCAACCAAGGAAAUUAGUUAAUUACGAUAUUAGAAAUAAAUGUGUAAGAGUACUUCUGCGCUUGCUUAUUAAAAUUAGCUUAAUGCAGUUGAGAGAGGAAACUAACCCUUGUGAAACUGAUGAUUCAUCUGAUGGCAAAAGCUUGUGCGCGAGUUUUACUGCAUCGUUGUUACAGUUGAUCACUUGGUUGAAGCAUAGAUAUCGCCCAUAGGAUGAAAUGUCCUCGAAGACGCAUAUGUGGGCAUCUACCAAGAACCUAAGGUCCACGGUAACAAAAACCCCAUCUUCAUACAUUUCAGCAGCACCUUUCAAGUAAGGAUGUGAUAUGGUGAGGUCUGGACUCAUGAGCAGCCCUCCGUUUAUGGAUACCAUGUUCACCUCUCUGUCCAUGGCGAGUGCCCAAGCAGCUUUCUCCGCUAGUGUCUUUGAGAGUCCUUCCCAUAGCUACAGCCAUUCAACCAAUCAAUUUAAUACGUUAUCGAGUGCUUAUUAAUCAAACAAAAUUAUCUUUACACUCCUUUCUUUAGCCAUCGUGAUGAUUGCCUUGUCGCUAAUAACAGUGAAAUAUUCCUCCUGCCUAUUUAUUUUAUCUUUGCAUGGGCUAUAAUAAUUUACAUCUCUCUUAUCAUUGAAACAAUCCUAUGGAGUCUUAUUCUUCAGUUUUUAUUUCAUCUUCGGGGUAGGGGGACAGAGUAGUUGAUCCCGCACUCUGCCUAAAUAUUAUAUAUUAUUUGGUGAAGGUCAAUUACAAACGCUUGCAUACAUCCACUUAGGCUUGAAUGCUCGACCUCUUAUCACCGAGAGCUGAGGUAUACCUUGCGGACUAUGUCUACUGUCUAGACUAUGUCUUGCAGGUCUCCCUAAAGUUAAAUUUAUUAAAGCAUAUAAAACUAGACAAACUACGGCAAAAAGUCCAAUUAUUGCUAAUAAACACACUUAGCGGUAGAAGAAAGCUGAUUGAAUUNUGUUUGGAUAAAUUUAUUAAUAUUUACAUCUUAUGAGAUAGAAAAUUAUUAAUAUAAUCAUAAUAUCUUAUGAGUUAUACUUUAGAAUUCAAUAUUAUAUGAAUUUUCAAGUGGAUAAGAUCGGUCGAGUGGUCUCAGUUGUAGAUGGACCACUCAAUUGGAGAAGAGAUGACAUUUGUUUAUAAAUCGAACGAGAUUCAAACUGGUGAAAUAAUUGAAUUUGCCGGCGUUGUCAAAAGAAUAGCCUUGAAUUUGAGAAUGAAAAUGUCGGGAUUAUUGUUUUUGAUAGUGAUACUAUUAUGAAAGAAGAUGUCAAGUGCACGGAUUUAUUGUGGAUGUUUCUACGAAAAAUGCUAAGUGAUCAUAUAGUACAUGUUUAUGAAAUCAAAUUUCGAAAAUCAAAAUAAUCAUGAAAAAAUAUAAAUAUUUUCAAUUUCUCAUAUUCCAACUUACAAGUCAGAAAUCGAUUUAUAAUUUUUUUAAGCAAACAUUACGAAUAAGUUGAUUCUUAUAUAACAAGACAAGCAUGCCAAGCAUUUUAAGCCGCAGGGCCAUAGCAUCGUUUUCUUUCACAUUUCAAAAGGUAUAAACAAAGAAAGUGGAUUAGUAUACUUGUUUAUUACUCAGUGAACAAGUGAAUUGUACAUUGCUGAUUUGAAAUCUUUGUGCAUUGAACUGAUUAUUCAAACAGAAUCAACAAAUAAUAAACAAAAGAUCCAUACAUGCACUUCAUUUGGUCAUCCACUGCACACAAAAACUAGAAAGGCUUGGUUCACUGUUACAGAUAAUAAUGGCUGCCAAGGUCAACACAUUGGUACCUCCUUGACACUUUAUAAAAAUUGAAUUGUAACCUUGCGACACCUAAUCCUAAGCUGUAUACAAACGUUUCUGUGUUCUACUUUAUACUAUCUGACACAAUUGUCGUG